UGGGGAAUCUUGCGCAAUGCGCGAAAGCGUGACGCAGCAACGCCGCGUGGGGGAAGAAGGCCUUCGGGUUGUAAACCCCUUUCAGUUGGGACGAAGCUUCCUCGGUGAAUAGCCGUGUGGAGUGACGGUACCUUCACAAGAAGCCCCGGCUAACUACGUGCCAGCAGCCGCGGUAAUACGUAGGGGGCUAGCGUUGUCCGGAAUCAUUGGGCGUAAAGCGCGUGUAGGCGGCCCGGUAAGUCCGCUGUGAAAGUCGGGGGCUCAACCCUCGGAUGCCGGUGGAUACUGUCGGGCUAGAGUGCGGAAGAGGCGAGUGGAAUUCCUGGUGUAGCGGUGAAAUGCGCAGAUAUCAGGAGGAACACCAAUUGCGAAGGCAGCUCGCUGGGACGUGACUGACGCUGAGACGCGAAAGCGUGGGGAGCGAAACAGGAUUAGAUACCCGUGGUACGUCCACGCCGUAAACGAUGAGUGCUAAGUGUUAGAGGGUUUCCGCCCUUUAGU
rnacentral:rRNA from 1 species